UACGGGAGGCAGCAGUGGGGAAUAUUGCACAAUGGGCGAAAGCCUGAUGCAGCUAUGCCGCGUGUAUGAAGAAGGCCUUAGGGUUGUAAAGUACUUUCAUCGGGGAGGAAAAACAAAACUAAUAAUUUUAUUUCUUGACGUUACCCGAAAAAGAAGCACCGGCUAACUCCGUGCCAGCAGCCGCGGUAAUACGGAGGGUGCUAGCGUUAAUCAGAAUUACUGGGCGUAAAGAGCACGUAGGUGGUUUUUUUAAGUCAGAUGUGAAAUCCCUGGGCUUAACCUAGGAACUGCAUUUUGAAACUGAAAUACUAGAGUAUCGUAGAGGGAGGUAGAAUUCUAGGUGUAGCGGUGAAAUGCGUAGAUAUCUGGAGGAAUACCUGUGGCGAAAGCGGCCUCCUAAACGAAUACUGACACUGAGGUGCGGAAGCGUGGGGAGCAAACAGGGAUUAGAUACC
rnacentral:rRNA from 1 species